AAUAUUAUGGGCUUUGUUCACUCCUGGUACUUUAAACCUUGUGAAAAACUAAAGAGGCCAUUGGCCCUUGAAAGAGACCAACUAGUGUUUUUUGUUUGUUUUAUUUUAUUUUUGCUGAAUGGAUAUUUCAAAUUGCCUUCUAGAUACUUACACCUACACCUAGAAAUUCGUUCUGCUCCUAGCCUUUGUCAGAGAAGUGUCGUUUUGUAGUUGGUAGAAGUUAAUGCAGGUAACCAUAACUGGUCAGAGUUCUAAGAGUGAAGAUUUUGUGCUUGGUUCUAAAUGAGACAUUGAUACCAGCCUCUCUAAAGAUCAACAAACACCAUGGUACAGUGAGCAGAAAGACUUUAAUGGGUGCUGAGUGAAAUAAAAUUCUAUUUUCUGAGCAUGGCAUGGGGCUGUGGCACUCGCCAACUCACAGUAUCUAAGGUUAUCUAGACAAGACCUAUGAAAGAUGGAACCCAUCAAUAUUUCAUCAUGGGUGGAGGGGAGGUUCUGAGCCCUAACCCUCCUUGAGAAAUUAUUGUAGUAAUAAUUGCUGUAGAAAGAGCUGAUUUUCCCCCCAUAAGUGGUGUAGGCUCCAGU
rnacentral:lncRNA from 1 species